GAUGAAGAACGUAGCGAAAUGCGAUACUUGGUGUGAAUUGCAGAAUCCCGUGAACCAUCGAGUCUUUGAACGCAAGUUGCGCCCGAAGCCAUUAGGCCGAGGGCACGCCUGCCUGGGCGUCACACGUCGUUGCCCCCCCAUCUACUCCUUCGGGAUUGCGGGGGGCGGAUGAUGGCCUCCCGUGCGCCUCGUCGCGCGGUUGGCAUAAAUGCCAAGUCCUCGGCGACGCACGCCACGACAAUCGGUGGUUGCGAAACCUCGGUUGCCCGUCGUGUGCGGUCAUCGCGCAUCGAGGGCUCGAAAAAAUUGCCGGGCUCCGGCUCGGCUUUCAACGCGACCCCAGGUCAGGCGGGGUUACCCGCUGAAUUUAAGCAUAUCAAUAAGCGGAGGA
rnacentral:misc_RNA from 1 species